CCCCCCCCCCAGCCCUGCACACACCCCGCCCUGCCCCCCUCCGUUUCCAUGGCAACAGCCUGAGCCGCCUCCUUCCUCACACAGGUGGGAGUCCCUGUGAAGGGAAGAAGGGAGAGGGUGUCUUUGUCACCGGGCUGCUGUCACAGAAUUACACAGAUGGGGCGGUUUGCAUCUCGCAGUCUGGAGGCUGAAGUCCAAGAACAAGGCGCUGGCAGGCACGGAUGCCAGACCAGUGUGGCUGGCAAAGGAAGGGCUGAGCGAGGGCUCCAACCUCCAGUUGCCCCAAGAAGUCUGUCAGGGAAAUAUUAACGCCAUCAACACACAUGGGAGUGAGUGGCGAGCCCAGCGGGACGUUUGCAUUGUGUUAAGCCUUAAGAUAAUGUGGUGUGUUGCUGCUCGGAAGAUAGAGCCUGGGGCACGUGGGAGACCACCAGGUGGAGACUGAGGAUCAAGUCAACAUACUACAAGUAGCAUGGACAGACAGAGAAACUGGGUUACUGUCAACAUUAUUCAAGCUGCUGGAUAGAGCCUCGCCUGAUUCCCACCUAUCAGCCCUUCCUCUGACAUCUCUAUUACGUGCACCCAUGAAUUCCUAUUAUUGUGUAAGCCAGUCUGAGCUCACUUAGGAGACACUGAACAAAGGAGGUGGUGCUCUGGAUGAGCAGUGUGUCCUGAGGUGAUAGAGUUACAGGCCAGGCCAGCAGCUGUUCACGGGUGAUGCGAGAGAAUGGGGAUCCAUGAGAGUGCUCCCAGCUAUCUGGUUUUACAACCCACUGAAGGGAGGAGGAGACAGGAGAGUCCUGCGGUAAAUAUUGGAUUCUUGAAAUUUAGGUGCCGCUCAAAUAGCCGGAGAGAUGUGGUAUUUGAACGCAUGGAUGUGUAUGUGUGUAUUAUGCGCUCAAAUAGCACAUCUCUCUGGCUAUUGGGGGUAUUUUGGCUUCAAAUCUCUAUCUAUCUAUGA